CCUACGGGUGGCAGCAGUGAGGAAUAUUGGUCAAUGGACGCAAGUCUGAACCCGCCAUGCCGCGUGCAGGAAGACGGCUCUAUGAGUUGUAAACUGCUUUUGUACGAGGGUAAACGCAGAUACGCGUAUCUGUCUGAAAGUAUCGUACGAAUAAGCAUCGGCUAACUCCGUGCCAGCAGCCGCGGUAAUACGUAGGUGGCAAGCGUUGUCCGGAUUUACUGGGUGUAAAGGGCGUGCAGCCGGGCUGACAAGUCAGUUGUGAAAUCCGCGGGCGUAACCCGCGAACUGCAUUUGAAACUAUUGGGCUUGAGUGCCGGAGAGGUAAUCGGAAGUCGUUGUGUAGCGGUGAAAUGCGUAGAUAUAAGGAAGAACACCAAUGGCGAAGGCGGAUUACUGGACGGUAACUGACGGUGAGGCGCGAAAGCGUGGGGAGCAAACAGGAUUAGAUACCCGAGUAGUC
rnacentral:rRNA from 1 species